AAUUGGGGCCGUACCAUGGCGGAGAAGACUCAAAAGAGUGUGAAGAUUGCUCCUGGAGCAGUUGUAUGUGUAGAAAGUGAAAUCAGAGGAGAUGUAACUAUCGGACCUCGGACAGUGAUCCACCCUAAAGCACGAAUUAUUGCGGAAGCCGGGCCAAUAGUGAUUGGCGAAGGGAACCUAAUAGAAGAACAGGCCCUUAUCAUAAAUGCUUACCCAGAUAAUAUCACUCCUGACACUGAAGAUCCAGAACCAAAACCUAUGAUCAUUGGCACCAAUAAUGUGUUUGAAGUUGGCUGUUGUAUCCUUUACAAUAAUCUACCAUAAAUAAUUCCUGGCUCUCCUUUAGUACUUAAGUCUUCUCCUGUAGAAAUUGUAAAAUUGUCAUAAUUUGUCUAUCAAACAUAUUUACAUUCACAAUAUAUAUUAUAAUUACAUUUUUAAAAGUAGAUCAUCCAGGCUGGGUGCGGUGGCUCAUGCCUAUAAUCCCAGCACUGUGGGAGGCCGAAGCUGGCGGAUCACUUGAGG
rnacentral:sRNA from 1 species